GAACAGGUUCUCUACACCUGUAGUUCCAAACUUCCAAUAGUCUGAACCAAUAUGUCAUAUAUUCAUAUACAUGUACAACGUCAAAAAUAAUAUUCUCUCUUUAGUGUAAAAUUUGUUAGCAAACGAGAUAUUUUUUAUAAGGUUGUUUAUGCUAUGAGAUUUUCUUUUUAAGUUGCUUGUAGUUUUAAAUGUACAUAGUUUGAAAUCAAUAUAUGUACCUUAGCAUUUCAAAAUCAGAAGAGUCAUGUAAUACAAUUCUUAUGAUGAAUAUAUUCCAUAUAUAUGAUCAUGUAAACUCAUGUAUAUAAUACAAACAAAUGUAAUUUUAAGGGCAAAUCUCCAAAAUAGCACAUUUCUAAGUUUAUAUCACAAAAAUAGCACUCAAAAACUAAAAUGACCAAAAUAGCACCUUUCUAAAUUUAUCCUUUGAAAAUUUUAAUCUUUUUAUUUUUCAAAAUUUGAAAUCUUAUCCCCAAAACCUCAUUUCUCAACUCUAAACCCUAAACCCUAAACUCUAAACCCUAAACCCUAAACUCUAAACCCUAAACCCUAAACCCCAAAUCGUAAACCUCA
rnacentral:lncRNA from 1 species